rnacentral:rRNA from 1 species
GUAGGGAAUCUUGCGCAAUGGGCGAAAGCCUGACGCAGCCAUGCCGCGUGAAUGAUGAAGGUCUUAGGAUUGUAAAAUUCUUUCACCGGGGACGAUAAUGACGGUACCCGGAGAAGAAGCCCCGGCUAACUUCGUGCCAGCAGCCGCGGUAAUACGAAGGGGGCUAGCGUUGCUCGGAAUUACUGGGCGUAAAGGGCGCGUAGGCGGACAGUUUAGUCAGAGGUGAAAGCCCAGGGCUCAACCUUGGAAUUGCCUUUGAUACUGGCUGUCUUGAGUACGGGAGAGGUGAGUGGAACUCCGAGUGUAGAGGUGAAAUUCGUAGAUAUUCGGAAGAACACCAGUGGCGAAGGCGACUCACUGGCCCGUUACUGACGCUGAGGCUCGAAAGCGUGGGGAGCAAACAGGAUUAGAUACCCGAGUAGUCC